rnacentral:lncRNA from 10 species
AGACAUUCAUUUCCCAUCUUCUCACCUGGCAUUUUGAGAUAAUCACUGGCUACUCUUUGGACUCUGGUCCCUGAAAAGGAGCCAGUUUGCUUCCUGAACUAAACCAGUGCCCUGAGAUGGAAGCAGGAUAUUAUAUAAACCACCACCACAAACAGCAUACCAGGAAAACACAACUCAGAUCUUCCUGGCUCUUCCACUAGCUGUGAGACAUGGGGCAAGGCUCCAGAUUCAGCUGGGCCUUUAUUAACCAGCCCUGGAGUUAAAUCAUCAACCCAGAGGUCUGUCCUAGCCCUGGAGCCCAAGGAGACCCCUGAUUAUGCAGCAAGCAGGAAAGAAAAGAGGUCUUUUAGAAUAAUGUGAAACUCACACUCUGCAUGGGGACAGAGCCACUUCCACUUGCUCCAGGCCACAGAGUUCUCUCUCCCGUGACAGUUUCCUUCCUGUGCAAUAGUAUCGCCUCUGGAACUUCCUCACCUGCCACCUGGUGCUGCUACAUGUCCACUUGGGCUCACAUAUUUUCCCACCGAUAGACAAGAGAUUACCAGAAAAGGGGUGAGGAAUCCAGAGAGAAUGUCUGCAUAAGAAGGAGGGUGGAGAUUUCUUACUGAACUAAAGGCUUCAAGAAUUGGCAAAUACCUGCUCAAUGUUUUUCCAGACUUUUGUAUUUCUGAUGACUGGAUGACUCCACCUGGACCCGAGACUCAUGACUCACCCAGUCCUGUGGCCCCACCCAGAAGUGGACUCAGAGCAAGAGGACCAUUUUCCACACCCCAAUGAGUGCAUCCCCAACCAAUCAGCAGCACCUGUUCCCUAGCCCCCUGACCACCAAACUCUCCUUGAGAAACCGUAGCCUCCAAAUUUUCUGGGAGGCUGAUUUGAGUAAUAAUAAAACUUUGGUCUCCUAUGUAGCUGGCUCUAUGUGUAUUAAACUCUUCCUCUAUUGCAAUUCCCCUGCCUUGGUAAGUCGG